AUCGCUGUUCAGCCUUUUGGCUAAGAUCAAGUGUAUUAUCUGUUCUUACCAGUUUAAUAUAUGAUACAUCCUCUAUCCAAGGGUAAUAUAUUACCUGGAGUUUUGGAGCAGGGAGAUGGAAUAGGAGCUUGCUCUGUCCACUCCAUGCAUCGACCUGGUAUUGCAGUACUUCCAGGAAUGGUGCACACCCU